rnacentral:rRNA from 1 species
GGGAUUGCCCUAGUAACGGCGAGUGAAGCGGCAAUAGCUCAAAUUUGAAAUCUGGCCCUCGCGGUCCGAGUUGUAAUUUGUAGAGGAUGCUUUUGGUGCGGCGCCUUCCGAGUUCCCUGGAACGGGACGCCAGAGAGGGUGAGAGCCCCGUACGGUUGGACGCCUAACCUAUAUAUAGCUCCUUCGACGAGUCGAGUAGUUUGGGAAUGCUGCUCUAAAUGGGAGGUAAAUUUCUUCUAAAGCUAAAUACCGGCCAGAGACCGAUAGCGCACAAGUAGAGUGAUCGAAAGAUGAAAAGCACUUUGAAAAGAGGGUUAAAUAGCACGUGAAAUUGUUGAAAGGGAAGCGUUUGCGACCAGACCUUUUCCAGGUUGAUCAGCCGGUGCACGCGCCGGCGCACUCUCCCUGGAUUAGGCCAGCAUCGGUUUUCUUAGGGGGAUAAAGGCUCGGGGAACGUAGCUCUUCAUGGAGUGUUAUAGCCCCUUGCGUAAUACCCCUCGGGGGACCGAGGACCGCGCUCUGCAAGGAUGCUGGCGUAAUGGUCGUCAACGACCCGUCUUGAAACACGGACCAAGGAGUCGAACAUUUGUGCGAGUGUUUGGGUGUUAAACCCUCACGCGUAAUGAAAGUGAACGGAGGUGAGAGCCCUCGCGGGUGCAUCAUCGACCGAUCCUGAUGUCUUCGGAUGGAUUUGAGUAAGAGCAUAACUGUUCGGACCCGAAAGAUGGUGAACUAUGCGUGGAUAGGGUGAAGCCAGAGGAAACUCUGGUGGAGGCUCGCAGCGGUUCUGACGUGCAAAUCGAUCGUCAAAUCUGCGCAUGGGGGCGAAAGACUUAUCGAACCAUUAAAACCAGGGGUAAAUCUUGAUUUACUAGGUGGAUAAGAGGUCCCCCGGGAGGGGGGCCUAGGUCUAAUGUGCCAGUUUACCCUAUAGCUACCCUACAGCUACCCUAUAGCUACCCUGCAGCUACCCUGCAGCUACCCUAUAGCUACCCUGUAGCUACCCUAUAGCCACCCUGGAGCUACCCUAUACCUACCCUGGAGCUACCCUGUAGCUACCCUGGAGGAGGGUACCCUGGAGUGCUGGCGCGGCCGACACCGCUAAAUUGCGGGAAAGUCCUAGAGAAGGCCGCAGGCUACCGCCGGGCGUUGAAAAACGCCCCGGCACCAAGAAUAGCGCUCUUGGGUACGGUAAAAACGCCUGUGGUAGCGGACGACCUGCAGCCAACCCCGUCAGUCACGAGGGGAGAGUUCACUGACUAAAUAGCGGUGGGUUAGCGUGCUCGCUAGCCUAAGACAUAGUCGAUCCGGCGCCUGAAAAGG